rnacentral:rRNA from 1 species
GAUGAACGCUGGCGGCGUGCCUAAUACAUGCAAGUCGAGCGAACAGACGAGGAGCUUGCUCCUCUGACGUUAGCGGCGGACGGGUGAGUAACACGUGGAUAACCUACCUAUAAGACUGGGAUAACUUCGGGACACCGGAGCUAAUACCGGAUAAUAUAUUGAACCGCAUGGUUCAAUAGUGAAAGACGGUUUUGCUGUCACUUAUAGAUGGAUCCGCGCCGCAUUAGCUAGUUGGUAAGGUAACGGCUUACCAAGGCUACGAGGCGUAGCCGAACUGAGAGGGUGAUAGGCCACACUGGAACUGAGACACGGUCCAGACUCCUACGGGAGGCAGCAGUAGGGAAUCUGCCGCAAAGGGCGAAAGCUUGACGGAGCAACGCCGCGUGAGUGAUGAAGGUCUUCGGAUCGUAAAACUCUGUUAUUAGGGAAGAACAAAUGUGUAAGUAACUAUGCACGUCUUGACGGUACCUAAUCAGAAAGCAACGGCUAACUACGUG